GACGAACGCUGGCGGCGUGCUUAACACAUGCAAGUCGAACGGAAAGGCCCUGCUUUUGUGGGGUGCUCGAGUGGCGAACGGGUGAGUAACACGUGAGUAACCUGCCCUUGACUUUGGGAUAACUUCAGGAAACUGGGGCUAAUACCGGAUAGGAGCUCCUGCUGCAUGGUGGGGGUUGGAAAGUUUCGGCGGUUGGGGAUGGACUCGCGGCUUAUCAGCUUGUUGGUGGGGUAGUGGCUUACCAAGGCUUUGACGGGUAGCCGGCCUGAGAGGGUGACCGGCCACAUUGGGACUGAGAUACGGCCCAGACUCCUACGGGAGGCAGCAGUGGGGAAUAUUGCACAAUGGGCGGAAGCCUGAUGCAGCAACGCCGCGUGCGGGAUGACGGCCUUCGGGUUGUAAACCGCUUUCGCCUGUGACGAAGCGUGAGUGACGGUAAUGGGUAAAGAAGCACCGGCUAACCACG
rnacentral:rRNA from 1 species